rnacentral:rRNA from 1 species
AUGAACGCUGGCGGCAGGCCUAACACAUGCAAGUCGAACGGAGUUAUAUUGUAGCUUGCUAUGGUAUAACUUAGUGGCAGACGGGUGAGUAAUGUAUAGGAAUCUACCUAGUAGUACGGAAUAAUUGUUGGAAACGGCAACUAAUACCGUAUACGCCCUACGGGGGAAAAAUUUAUUGCUAUUAGAUGAGCCUAUAUUAGAUUAGCUAGUUGGUGGAGUAAUAGCCUACCAAGGCAAUGAUCUAUAGCUGAUCUGAGAGGAUGAUCAGCCACACUGGAACUGAGAUACGGUCCAGACUCCUACGGGAGGCAGCAGUGGGGAAUAUUGGACAAUGGGCGAAAGCCUGAUCCAGCCAUGCCGCAUGAGUGAAGAAGGCCUUUGGGUUGUAAAGCUCUUUUAGUGAGGAAGAUAAUGACGGUACUCACAGAAGAAGUCCUGGCUAACUCCGUGCCAGCAGCCGCGGUAAUACGGAGAGGGCUAGCGUUAUUCGGAAUUAUUGGGCGUAAAGGGCGCGUAGGCGGAUUAGUAAGUUAAAAGUGAAAUCCCAAGGCUCAACCUUGGAAUUGCUUUUAAAACUGCUAAUCUAGAGAUUGAGAGAGGAUAGAGGAAUUCCUAGUGUAGAAGUGAAAUUCGUAAAUAUUAUAGGAACANCNGGGG